ACUGCUCAGUAACACGUAGUCAACCUGCCCUGGAGACGCGGACAAACCCGGGAAACUGGGGCCUAUCCGCGAUAGAUGACCUCAUCUGGAAGGAGAGGUCGUCGAAAAGGGCGCACGGGUAUGCUCUGUGCGAACCGCUCCAGGAUGGGACUGCGGCCGAUCAGGCUGUUGGCGGGGUAAUGGCCCACCAAACCUGUAACCGGUACGGGCUUUGAGAGAAGGAGCCCGGAGAUGGACACUGAGACAAGGGUCCAGGCCCUACGGGGCGCAUCAGGCGCGAAACCUUCGCAAUGCGCGAAAGCGUGACGAGGCUAGUCCGAGUGCUUCCUGCUAAAGGGGGCUUUUCUCGGCUGUAAAUAGGCCGGGGAAUAAGGGGAGGGCAAGUCUGGUGUCAGCCGCCGCGGUAAUACCAGCUCCUCGAGUGGUCGGGACGAUUAUUGGGCCUAAAGCACCCGUAGCCGGUUCCGUAAGUCCUCUGUUAAAUCCAGCUGCUCAACGGCUGGCCUGCAGAGGAUACUGCGGGACUAGGAGGCGGGAGAGGCGGACGGUACUCCGCGUGUAGGGGUAAAAUCCUUUGAUCCGCGGAAGACCACCAGUGGCGAAGGCGGUCUGCCAGAACGCGCUCGACGGUGAGGGGUGAAAGCUGGGGGAGCGAACCGGAUUAGAUACCCGGGUAGUCCCAGCUGUAAACGAUGCAGACUCGGUGAAGCGUUGGUUUUUCGCCAAUGCUGUGCCGCAGGGAAGCCGUUAAGUCUGCCGCCUGGGAAGUACGGUCGCAAGGCUGAAUCGCAAGAAGAUGAUCUUCUUGCGCAGUUCACUUAAAGGAAUUGGCGGGGGAGCAC
rnacentral:rRNA from 1 species